UGGGAGGCUGACACACACAUCCGGCUGCAGUGCUGCUCUGUCACCAUACCCCCUCGAAUAAACUGCCUUUUGAGGACCAGGAUGAAUUGAGAGAAAUCGUAACAGACAGAUACAGGCAGACAGCU